UUUUUUAAAGGAAGAGUUGGCUCAAUCUUUCAAACAAAGAUAUCCUGAUCUAUCUGAAAUACACCUUUCAAAAAAUGUUUGGAGCAAGGGAAUAAACUACAGGGCAGAGAGCAAUAUGGAGCCUAUGAGCUGACUCCAUCUCCAGCACAAGAACUUGCUCUUGUUGAAGUCUGUGAACUGGUUGAUGAUUAUCCCUUGGCUGCCUAUCUGGUUGGGUGUAUGCGGAUGGUGACCUUGAAAAGAUCCAUCUGUGUUUAAAACAGUGCAGUAAGACCAUGACAGCGAUUCUCAGAGUAAUCUUGGGACCAGACAGCUGUCAGAGGGUGGUGUUUCCUUCUGGUCUACCUUCAACUGUAACUGACCUAGAGACUGAGAUAAAGACUCAAUGUAAAAUAAAACAAUCCUUUCGACUGCAAUUCAUGGAUACACUUUUUGGCAACAACUUCAUAAA
ensembl:lncRNA